GGAAACAUGUGUGGUGGUGCUAUUAUCUCCGAUUUCGUAGCCGUGAAACCCAGACGGCAAUUGAACGCCGAGGAUCUCUGGUCUGAGCUGGAUACCUUCUCUGACUUUCUUGGCUUGGACUACCCUAAUAAUGCCAAUAAAGACCAGAUAUCUACCAAGUUGGAUCUUAAACUCCAUGAAAAGCCGAAGCUGAAGCUCAACCAAGUUGAGAAAACUGAGAAAGCUAGCACUGUAAUGGAAGGGAACAAGACUCGGAGAAUUCGCAAGAAUAUUUACAGAGGAAUAAGGCAAAGGCCAUGGGGGAAAUGGGCUGC
rnacentral:misc_RNA from 1 species